rnacentral:rRNA from 1 species
CCUACGGGAGGCAGCAGUGAGGAAUAUUGGUCAAUGGACGAGAGUCUGAACCAGCCAAGUAGCGUGAAGGAUGACUGCCCUAUGGGUUGUAAACUUCUUUUAUAUGGGAAUAAAAUGUUCCACGUGUGGGAUUUUGUAUGUACCAUAUGAAUAAGGAUCGGCUAAAUCCGUGCCAGCAGCCGCGGUAAUACGGAGGAUCCGAGCGUUAUCCGGAUUUAUUGGGUUUAAAGGGAGCGUAGGUGGAUGGUUAAGUCAGUUGUGAAAGUUUGCGGCUCAAACGUAAAAUUGCAGUUGAAACUGGCAGUCUUGAGUACAGUAGAGGUGGGCGGAAUUCGUGGUGUAGCGGUGAAAUGCUUAGAUAUCACGAAGAACUCCGAUUGCGAAGGCAGUUCACUGGACUGCAACUGACACUGAGGCUCGAAAGUGUGGGUAUCAAACAGGAUUAGAUACCCGAGUAGUC